rnacentral:rRNA from 1 species
GAUGAACGCUGGCGGCGUGCCUAAUACAUGCAAGUCGAGCGAACAGACGAGGAGCUUGCUCCUCUGACGUUAGCGGCGGACGGGUGAGUAACACGUGGAUAACCUACCUAUAAGACUGGGAUAACUUCGGGAAACCGGAGCUAAUACCGGAUAAUAUAUUGAACCGCAUGGUUCAAUAGUGAAAGACGGUUUUGCUGUCACCUAUAGAUGGAUCCGCGCCGCAUUAGCUAGUUGGUAAGGUAACGGCUUACCAAGGCAACGAUGCGUAGCCGCCCUGAGAGGGUGAACGGCAACACUGGAACGGAGACACGGUCCAGACUCCUACGGGAGACACCGGUAGGGAAUCUUCCGCAAUGGGCGAAAGCCUGACGGAGCAGCGCCGCGUGAGUGAUGAGGGUCUUCGGAUCGUAAAACUCUGUUAUUAGGGAAGAACAAAGGAGUAAGUAAAUAUGCACGACUUGACGGUACCUAAUCAGAAAGCCACGGCUAACUACGUG